rnacentral:sRNA from 1 species
AUAUCUCUCUGUACGGGAAGGAUGAGAAGCUUCGACUAAGGUUCGAUUCGAGCGAAAGCGAGAAAGCGUCGCCGCAGGCAACGACCCGAAGGGCGAAACGCGCAGCGCUGAGUCAUCCUUCCCCCACCACCA